ACACACACACACACACACACAUAUAUACAUAUAUAUAUAUAUAUAUAUAUAUAAUACAUUCUUUUUUAUAUUCCUUUCCAUUAUGGUUUAUCCCAGGAGAUUGGUUAUAAUCCCCUGUGCUCUGCUUGUCCAUUCUAAACGUAACAGUCUGCAUCUACUAACCCCAAACUCCCAGUCCAUCCCUCUCCCUCCUCCACCCUUGGCGACUGCAAGUCUGUUCUCUAUGGCUGUGAGGCUGUUUCUGUUUUGCAAAUAGGUUUGUCUGUGCCAUAUUUCACGUUCCACAUGUCAGUGAUAUCAUAUGUGUCUAUUUCUGACUUAUUCGUUUAGUGUGAUAAUCUCUAGUUGCAUCCGUGUUGUUGCAAAUGGCAUUAUUUCAUUUUUUAUGGGUGAGUAAUAUUCCUGUGUGUGUGUCUGUGUGUGUGUGUGUGUGUGUGUGUGUGUGUACACACCAAAAUGUCUUUAUCCAUUUGUCUGCUGAUGGACAUUUAGGUUUUUUAUGGUUGUCUUUCUCUAGUCUUAAGCUUGCCCCAGAAUCACGGAACGCAUCUCUCUCACCUCUCACCUUUGGGUAGGAAUGUUUAAACUACCCCGGAGAGCUUGGGGAGUUCUUCUGGGGUUCUAGACCCACCCAGGAGGAAGGGGAAACGUUGUCAAGGGAGACUUUGGAAGGAGAAGCAGAGCUGGGAAGACACAAGGUGAAUAACCGGUUUCCCUAACUCUGCUCAGCGCAUCCGCUAGCGUGCUAGAUGGGACACCUGCUUCCUCCUAUGCAAGAGGCUCCCCACGUUGUCCAUCCCUGGCUCUCUUCGCUUCCGUUGGGCAUGUUGCAUGCCAGGAUGUCUCCAUGCUGUGGUGUAGCUGGUUCGUGGCUUCUAAGGACUGCGUGGUAUACGAGGGGGAGUCACAUCUGGCCAUAACCUCUCCUGCCCCUUUCCCCUAAUCUCAGGAAUUUAGAUUAGAUUGUUGCCUUCAAUUCCAGGCCACGAGAAACAAUACCUAAACUUCUUCUAGAUCCCUUACAGAACGUUUCUCCGGGAUUUAAAGCUGCGGGUAAAUGCUCUGGGUCACAAGGAAGAUAAACACGUAUUUAAACCAAGAACUGCCAGGUGGCUGUGAACGGGGCAUGAAAAUGAGUAUUUUUUAAUGUGUACAGCAUGGGAGUUUCAUAGUAUCCCAUUGCGUUUAUUUUGGCAUUUCUCUAAUGACCAGCAAAUUCGUAGAUCUCUCAGUCCAUUUGGGUUUUCUCUCCUGUGAAUUUCCCCUCUGGUCUCACAUGCUUUGCCAUUGUUCUUCCAUAUUUUCUCUCCUUUUCUGAUUGGUUCUUCAGAAAUCCUUGUAUAUUCCAGAAGCUGACAUCACAGAUGUCUUCUUCCAGUCUUCUCAUGUCUGUCACUUACUGUGGUGUCCCUCCUUGGACAGUCGAACGGGCCAGUAGUCACUCAGCUCAGUACUCAGGGUUGGAGCCCAGAUCAGGCCCCCUUCAAAUUCCAUGCUCUUUCCAGAGUCCCUUCCUCCUUCACUUUCUCCCAAGAGAACCAUUCCCCACUCGGUCAAGGCAGCAUUUGGAUAUUUGGAAAGGGAGGUAGCCGUGCAGUCCCAGAAAUUACAGGAAGAAGAAUCCCGCUAAUGCUGCAGAAGCCAUGUUCGUGCCUAAAAGAUGAAGGGCCAUGGUUGUUAAAAGGCUUUUUCUGGAGCGGCUGACAGCCCUGUUUGCCCUUGCCUGUCCUCACAUCAGGUUCCGUCGCCUCCCUGGUUGUAAUGAUCAGGCACUCACAUAGGUCUGAAUGGAGCAUCAAACCCCUGGUCCUCUUAGUGAACUGGGGUCCCACCAGUUAGCCAAGCUGAGUUGGCAAAGCUGCCCCCGUCUUCCCAUAGCCCCUGCUCAGACUUGGCGUUCAACUAGGCAGUGUCCUCACUGCCCCAGCCUCCCACAUAAGGAACCACUGGCGACUCACCUGACACUUCUGCCCUGUUUUCUGCCCAAUCCUGCCUGUCCCUGCCCCUCCGUUUGCCCUGCUGUGUUGAGCUUCUUUACAGUUCCCCUGGUCCAGACUUCUCUCUGCAGCCUCUUUCCCUGCAUUUUCCUUCUCAUGCCUCUAUUGCCUUUUGCCCUGAUCUGGCUGGUAUUACAUGGCUUUUCCUUGUGGCUGAAAAAUCCGGUUGGAGGUGUGCACAUGGGGCCCCGCUUUGGCAUUCAUCAGCACUGGCAAGAAAGCCUUUCCCGGCCAGCAGCGGAUUGGUCUGUAAGCAUUCAGCCCGUGUCUGCUCUGCACUGCGUGCUGUGAUGGGCAGCGGCGGUUUGGCAGGGAACGACAUCCCUGCCCUCGCUUUGCUCACAGUUUAGUGGGGGAGCCGAGUCGGGUGUUCAUGGUGAGCGUGGUAAGUGAGAUGUGCUGAGAGGAAGUGGUUAACGUGGCCUGCAAAGGGAUGGAGGGGAGACUUCUUAGCGGGGCUGAUGUGUGAUCCAGAUGCGAAAGAUAGGGAUGAAUUUCCAGGUGGGCAGUGGUAGUAGAGGUGAAAGGCGUGGUCAGAUGGAGCAAGGUGGCAUCAGCAGCAACGCAGGCUUCUGCCCCAUCUUUCUCACAGGGCUGUGAAAACGGAGCGUGAAACACAUGCCAUCAGCCCCCUUAUCCCCAUUUCUGCAUCCGAAGUUGGUUGAACCUGCAGCUGCGGCAGCUGUGGAUGUGGGUGGCCAGCCAUGAGGGGCUUGGGCAUCUGCAGAUUUUGAUGUCCUUCGGGGGCCCUGGAGCCAAUACCCUGCAGAUACUGGGGAUGGUGCUGCAUGCCCAAGAGCUGCAGAGGUGGGUGCUGUUAGUUGUUAUUUGACUAAAGACCUGCUUUGGGGCUUGAUCGGAAAGAAGAGAAAGAGAAAGGCUGGGCUUCUGUCUCAGCAGGUUUGGGCGUCUACCCCUGGGCCGCCUUCCGCAUGUCCCCACCUCAAGUACGCACAAGGAAAGUGCUGCGUAAGAGCACGCUUUCUGUUAACCGUUGCCAUGGAUUCACCUUUUCCUUCUUCUUAUCUUUAUGUGUGCUCUCUGUCGAAACUUUGCGCCCGAGCCCAGAGUGGAGAAAGACUCAAGGCUGUGGAGUCGGGCCAACUUGGGUUCAAAUGCUAGGUCUGCCGCUUCCUGCUUACUCGUUCUGGCUCUGCCUCCAAAGCCACCUUGAUUCAUUUUGGGGUGCUCCACAGUUCUUUGGGCGCUCGCCGCAGGUACCAGCAGGUGGCUCGUUAGAUCCACGGUGUGUAGGUUUUAGCGGUUUAAUUCUGAAAGUGAUUUUAUUCCUAAAUUCUGGGGGCCCGUUCUGUGUGUAACUAGAGUCAAAUCCGAGCCUCUUCUCUUGGCCCAAGGGCGUGUGUGAAUUGGCUUUUGCUUCAUCUUCCACUGCUUUCCCUGAGCUCUCUAAGCCCUGUUGACACUGGCCAAGGUCAUGGCUGCCGUAGGGACUUUGCACUUGGUCUUUCUUCUGCCUGGAACGUUCUUCCACUUGGUUUUUCUAGGGCUGGCUUCUUCUCAGCUAUCAGGUCAAACGUCACCUUCUGCUGCCCUCUAGUUGCCUCUUCUGUUUUCUUCGUAGCAAUUAUUACCUGAAGUUAUUUUAUUUACUUAUUUUCUUGCUUACUCUGUCCGCUCUGCUGGAGUAUAAGUUCUGUCUUGGCGGAGACUUGCUCUGUCCUGAUCACUGUUGUAUCCCCAGAACCUAGGACAGUAUCAUGUACCCACUAGACUCUCAGUAAAUGUAUUUGAAUGAACAGGCAAUUGAAUAAAUGGGUUUAUUGAAAGAAGAAGCAACCCUCCGUUUAAAUGUAUGGCAACUAAACUUCUUUGGUGCCUAUAAAUACCUGUGGAAUUGAAACAUACAUAUUCGUGGCACUGAAACAUAUUAAUGCAUAAUAAAACUUUUGGUUGAGAGCGCCGUGGAGAGUGAGCAUAAAUGAGUAAUAAUUACAAGAUUAGCAAAGCUGUGGGAGGCGCUGGGGAUUGAGCCUGGCGUAUUUUAGGCCAGAUCUUGAUUCUGAAAUAGAGUUUGAGAAGGUGUGUCACCCCGGUUAUGUAAGCUCCACGGCUAUGACAUGGUGGGAGGGAGGCGCUGACCUUGGAGAAGCAAGGCUGGAGUUCACGUGUCAGUUCUGUAUCUUCUCGGCUGUAUGGCUUUGGGCAUUUCCCUUCAGCUUUGGGGCCUCUAUUUUCUCGUCUGUGAAAUGGGAGCAUUCUAACCGCCGUGGUGGUUCUGAGGACUGACCGCGGUGAUGGAUCGCGUGCAUGUGAAGUGAACAUAAGCCAGGUGCAGGAUGGGGAAGGAGCAGGUGUGGCCGUUGGGGGACCCUGCUCUGGGCAGCUCCUGCCCAAGUCAUGCCAGGCAGGUGUCUGCUCUGUCUGGCUGAGAAACGCUCUUCUCCGAUCUCUGUGGUCAGAAUCCAGCUUUCCACAGCCCCACCAAUAGGACACGUUAGGGCUUGAAUAUCAUCCCUGGCUCCCAAAACCGUCCUUGUCCAGAAGGCGCUCCCCGUUCAACAUCUUCUGGGAGUUUUCCUCCGCAGAGCUCCCAGUGCCUAAGGUCCAGGCAAGGGGUGUCAAGAAACGAAGCCCCUGCCAUUGGAGGAUGGGCUGUGUGGGGGUGAGAGGGGCUGCUGGGGGUCCCCGCAGGAAGGCGCUGGAGCCCCAGACACCCCUUAAGUGGGAGGCCCCCCAGGUCACCAUCUGAACGGUUGAGGACGAACCCGUUGCCUCUGCUGUGAAGUGUUGCACUGGAUCUGUGAGGCGGGUCCUGCCACGGUCCUUUCUGUUUGUGCUUCUUUUGGGAAACGAAGAUGGGGACUGGCAAGGAAAGACCCAGUGUUGAGAGCUGCAGCUCAGCUUUCCUAUUUUAAUAGUCUCUCGUGUGUUAGAAUGACUCGCUGGGCAUCGUACACGGGGGCAGAAGGCACUUGCUGGCUUCUGACAGCCCUGCCCGGUUGAUGGCUCCGUGGCUGUAAGCCUUCUUCUUUUGUCCCGAUGGCCAGGGGCAAAGAUGAGAUUUCCAGAGCAAUUACCAUGGUCCUAGAGAGAGAAACGGCACUUCUGUUCAUGGCUAGAGAGAAACAGCUGGAAGAGAGCACGCAGGCUCGCAGCCUCUGAAGCUCCUCCGGGUCUCGCCCAGCGUGUGUGGGAGGAGGACCAGCUGGUGAUGACCGCCUGGCAGGUGUGCGAGUCACUGUUUGGGGGUCUCCGUGCCAGACGGCUGCUGGGUCGCCAGCAAGACGAGAUGUGUUUGUCAGAGUGGUUCUUCCUGCUGGAGGGGCUGCAGGCCAGAUGUUAAGAGUGCUGGAAGGGGAACUGGGUGACUGGGUUUGGGGCCCACUUCUGUUUCUUCCUGGCUGUGGGAUCUGGGACCUCAGAGCCCUCAUCGCUCAGGCAAAGGCUUUGGACCAGGACCUGGGGACAGUGGAGGCUCUGUGCUCCCUCUGAGGGGCCCUGAGGCCCCCACAGAGCACAGGCUCCCGGGCCUGGCAGGGUUGACCCUGGCCCAGAAAACUGCUGUGGCUGCAUCUGUAGAGCAGAGAGCCUUCCCUGCUCUGCCUCAUCUGUCUUGGGCGGCAGGGGCAGGGAAGGAUGCUUCUCAUUUUACAGAUGGAGCAACCACUUGAGCAGGGGGUUCUCAGCCUAGUGAUUCGCCUUCUCUGGGCUGAGGAACCACAGGUCUUCUCAGCAGUGUUGGUAUUUGCUAAUUUCCCUUCCCUGGGACACUUGUCACUAUCACUCCUAAAAUGAGGUGUCCAGAUGGGAACACAAUACAGAUGUGACCCAGCUAUUACAGAGGGGAUGCUCAAAAGCUGCUGAGCAGUAUCUGGAAUCGAGACAUUUCCCCAGCUGGCCUUAUCCUCUGUUUGUGCCAAAUCCAUGGCAUCCUGUUAGACAGCUGUCCGUUUCAGCCCAGACAGUGCUACAUUUGUGUUUCUUGUGUUUCUAAGUGUGUGAGAAGGCUGUGUUUAGAGACAAGGACUGACUCUGGCGCCCCCUGGAGGACGGCUGUCUGUGGUUAGGUUCAGGCAGCCUCGCCUACCCCCGGCCCUGCGCUUCUGGCCUGUCCUGAGGCAGUCGAUAGUUUAAUGACCUGGGUUGUUUUGUUUAGCAAAAUAUUGUCUUGGGGGUUCUUUAUACCAUUGUAAGAAAGGUCUGGCUGAGGACCUACCGGUCUUAAGCAGGUGCCUUUGGGCGCUUUUCUUUGUAACGGGGGGCACAUAGGCGUUUCUCUGGCUUCUGCUUGCCCAUCGUUUAAAAUAAGGCAGUUUUUCCAGUUCUAAAUUAUAUGGCACUGGGAGUUAGAUAGGGCCCUGUGUUUUUGUAUUAUCUCUCUUGUUGGAAUUUGUUGUGAGCCCAAGAUAAAGAACCUGUCCUUUCCCUAACUUACCUCCUUAUUUCUCCCCUUCUGGUGAUUUGCUGCUCCCCACCACCCCAACCUGAGUUCAUCAGGAAGCAACAUAGCACAGUGGUUAAAGGCCGUGUCUCUGGGGCGGCGGUGGUGGGGGGGCAGCCUAGAUAUGUGGUCUGGGUCCAUCAUUGACCAUCUGGGUGACCUUGAGUGUAUCAUGUAGCCUCUCUGUGCCUGCUCCAUUAUCU
rnacentral:lncRNA from 1 species